CAGAGUCUUUUUAUUUUCACCUCAUUGGUUCAUCCAAAAAAAUAAAAAAUAAAAGACUCUCUUCGCUCUCUCAAACCCUAAAAACUACAACUCUCUUCGCUCUCUCGAAGCUUCUUCGAUCUCUGUCCCCUUGUCGAUCACUUGCAAAAAUCAAAAAUUUUUGGGCGGGAAUUCGGAUACUCAAUACCCCCAAACCCAACCCACUUCCCCCGCUCCAUACCCACCCGUUUCGAUUUGUAAUCUUUGGUGCGAUAGAAGCUAUAGGGUUUUCUCAACACGAAACGAGAUCUGGCUUUGUGAUACAUAAUGCAGUGAUCAUGCAAAAGAAAUUCAGAGUGCGAUAGAGAAGAUGGAACCUGAGCGUUUAAAAUUCGGAGGUCCAAGAGAGUUGUGUGGUGCUGUGGAUCUUAUAUCUCAAUUCAAACUAGCACAGCACCAUGAAUUCUUUUGCAAGAAAUCCCUUCCCGUCUCCCUGUCAGAUUCCCAUUAUCUUCAUAAUGUGGUUGGGGACACAGAGAUCAGAAAAGGAGAAGGAAUGCAAUUAGAUCAGAUUGUACAGAACUUAUCACAGAGCCCGGAGACUAAUAUUCGCAUCCAACCUUUUGAUAUAGAUGAGCUUAAGGAGGCUUUCCUACUAAAGGAUAUGACUCCUGUUGAACUGCCUCCUGCAGAGAAGGGAGCGCCUACAUUUCCGCCUAAGUCAAAAAGUGAGUCGAAAGAUAAGGACAGGAAACAUAAGAAACACAAGGACAGGGAUAAGGACAAAGAUAGAGAGCACAAGAAGCACAAGCACAAGCAUAAAGAUAGGAGCAAGGAUAAAGAUAAAGACAAGGAUCGAGACAGAAAGAAGGACAAAAAUGGCCACCAUGAUUCGGGUGAUCAUUCUAAGAAACAUCAUGAUAAGAAAAGGAAACACGAUGGAGAUGAAGAUCUUAAUGACGUUCAGAGGCACAAAAAAAACAAGCAUAAAAGCUCAAAGCUUGAUGAGAUGGGUGCAAUAAGGGUUGCUGGGUAGUAAAGUUGUAAACAUUCCAAUUUUGUAUUCUGCACUCAAGUAGGUGUCAUGGAGAGGUUUAGAAGCACUUUUCAACUCACUGUAGACAGCUUAUUAGGUUAAAAGCCCAAAAUGGUGAACUCAUUCCUUGAAGAAGCAAGGGGAAAUUUAUGAUGAUGAAGAAGAAGAAUUGAAUUAGUAUCGUAAUUGAUUUGGUGUCAGAUUUGUAACAUUUUGGUCUUUGGGGUGUUUUCUUCCAUCUCUUCUCUGUCUAUAAAAGCAAUAUACCCACAAUAUUCACUAUUCAAUAUUCAUGUAUAAUAAUUUGUUCCUUAAUAUAUGCUGUUGAUGAAGGA